rnacentral:lncRNA from 1 species
AAAGGGAGAUGAAAGCCUUUACCAGUUUGGCUUCCAUCCUAUUCCCCGGAACAGGAGCGGUCAAACGGGAGGGUGGGGGGCGGGGUGGCAAUUUAUCAGGACUUGCUUCUUUUUGCUUUCCACAGAAAUUGCAUUUUAGUUCCUGACUAAUGAUUUCUCCUGUUCUUAAAGCCAAGGGAAAGGUCGGAUGCAAAACACUCGAGUUUUAAGAAAUUUUAAGCUAUUCUUAGAACAAGCUUCACCUUGCUUUCCUUCUGUAGGGCAAACCCCUGCCCCUGCGCGCCUCGGUGGUCCUGCUGAGGGUUUUCUACCUCACCCUGUGCAUAUUGCACAGCAAGACAGAAAGACUUGUUUAUAUUAAACAGCUUAUUUAUGUAUCAAUAUUAGUUGGAAGGACCAGGCGCUGAGCCUCUCUCUGUGACAUGUGACUCUGUCAUUUGAAGACAGGACAGGGAAAAAAAAAGGAAACAGUUCAGAUUACUGCACAUGUGCGUAUAAACAAAAACAAAACACACUAAACAGGAGUGGUUCCACAUGCCAUUUUUGCACAGUGUUAGGAAUUGUAAAGUCCACAGAUGUUACUUGCACAAAAGAAAUUAAAUAUUUUUAAAGGGGUAGGAAGGGGGGAGAUCUUAAAAACUAAAAUAAAAUUCAAACUCAGCUUCUGUUGUCUAUUAUGUUAUUGAGCUAAUGAUUUAUUGGGAAAAUACCUUUUUAUACUCUUAUCAUGGUACUGUAACUAUCCAUAUUAUAAGUAUAAUUAUCUUAUGGAUUUUUUAUUAUUUUUUUAUGUCCAAGUGCCCAUGUGAAUCUGCUGGUAAAGCUUAGCACUUGUGUGUAAAUUCUAUUUCCUCUUGUAUGUUUUACCAAGUAUUUUUACUCUGGUGCAACUAACUACUGUGUGAGGAAUUGGUCCAUGUGCAAUAAAUACCAAUGAAGCACAAUCAAGAUUACGUACCCUUGUGUCUGUAAAGUGUCAGUGAAAAUGAAAAAGACAGUUUGUCUUUUCAUUAGACUGCAUUUCUCCUAGAGCUCUUUUAAUAGCUUUUCAUGACUCAGUAACUUAGCAAAAUGCCUCUAGACCAAAUACGAUGUUCACCUACAGAGAGCUGCAGAUUUGCCCUAAAUUUUCACAGCCGGAUUCAAGGUAUUCCAGACUACUUGUAGGCGCUUUUCAAGAUUCCAUCUGCUGCACUUGACUUAUGAAGUGACAUUUGGGAAAUGUGUCUACUGGGGGCGAAAAGCCUCGGAGCCAGGUAACUCAGCUGCAGUGUUGCUCAGAAACACAGGAAGGAAGACAAACUCAUUGAACAGUCGGCCAACUGAAAUUCGUUGCAGGAGCUGACCUAGAAAAAUGCACCCUUACCAAGCAGAUUUCUAAGUGCAUAAGGCCAAGGGUCAUGCCCCCUGUGGAGGUAAGACAUUUGAGCUCAGUUUGUUCAAGGCAACAAAUAAGCAGAGAUCAAGACUAGGUGGCAGACUCCUAAAUUAGUCUUAUUUAUGUCACCAAACUAUUCAUCUUUUUUGUCCCUCACUGGACUAGAAGUUCCUUUAGUAUAAAGGCUUUGUCUUUUUUUUUUUUUCCUUUGACCUCCCUAGGCUUAUGUAUACUCUGAAUAUUCAUUGAAUUAUACUAGAGUCAGAGAAACUAGAUUUUUAGCUACAGCAAUAAUCUAGGUACGUAGUGGCAACAGGCCUUUAUUAGUUAGCUUUGCAUCAAAUACUUCAAAUACUUUUGUAAUAAAUACUUCAACGAAUCAACUUAUAAAGAGACGCUUUGAUUUUUGGCUCACAGCUUUAGAAGGUCCAGUUCAUGACCCGUUGGCCCUGUUGCUUUUGAGCCUGGAGAGAGGUAGCCCAUCCUGCUGGGAAGCACAGAGCAGAGCAAAGCUGUUUGCCUUGUGAUAAGGAAGGGAAAGAAAAAGAUGAAGAAAUGGGCUUCCAUACCCCCGUCAAGGGCACAAGCCCCCCAUACACCUGUGUCUCUCCCACUAGGCCCUCCCCACAGUGCCUAACAAGCUCCUAACAACUGUGCCUUUGGGAGCCACUCUAGAUCCAAACACCACAAAAGCCUAACUGUACUGAAAGAUGUGACACAACGCUGUUUCCUUUGUGAAUCCAGGGUUUCACUACCCAACAACAGUUUCUCCAAGAAAGGUGCGAAUCUUCUAAUUGCAGUAAACAUGGUACAGCUUCUGCUAGUGUCACGGGAAAUGUUGAGGUUGUUAUCCAAAUAUUUCUAAGAAAAAAAGUUUAUUUCUAGAAAUGGCACUACUGGAAUUCGGUACCUAAGCAACCUAAAUUCAGUGAGUAUGAAGGUAGUAUAUGCUUCAUGCUCAUCCCUUUUCUUGAAAAAUAGUCAUCUCACCAGCUCUGUUAAAUAAGAACUGCAUAUUCUAGGUUCUAGGCCACUUAUCAAUGUAAGAAAUACCUGAUUUAUUUGUCAUUUACUGUAUUUAUCCUACGUGGGCUUUUUUCCUUUUGAACAAAGAGAUCCAGAGCUGUUUUUCUCCCUGGAUACUACAGGGGGGAAAGCCCUUGUCACUGGCCCAAGUGUUCUCCCUGGAACCCGAAAGUCAACAUGCCUAAGAGAAUCAGAUCACCGUUCACUGAGGUAUAGGUUUCUGUUUUAGAUUUUAUUUUUGCAGUCUGUACUACAAGAAAUUUUAAUGUGUCCAUUAACAUUGUAAUGGGAGCAAACACAUGAUGACCCUCUCAAAGUUUGCACAUCCCUUUCAGGUCUUUUUCACUUAAAACAGAUUCCUAAGCAUUAUCUUCAUUAUCUUCCCUUCUCAAUGAGAGAGAGAGAGAGAGAGAAAUCUAUAGCUAUUCCAAGAGAAAAUUUAUUGCCCAAAUUCCGUUGGACAAAGCAUUAAGACUUACCUGUUACUCUUUUCUCUGUAUAUUGCUAUAUAUUGUAUGUAUACAUAUUCUCAGUAAAGCAGAGUACAUUUUUUUAAGUAACAUUAUAUUUGUAUUAGCUUCCUGGGAUUGUUUGUGAGACACUUUGCAUGGAGCUUGGGGCUGGGAAGCUGAGAGCAGGGCCCCUGACUAGGGGGCGCUCCAUGGGGGCGGAGGAAAGGCCUCUGGACACUUCCAAACCUAUUUGGUAUGGAUGCAUUUCUCUGCAUCAGUUCCCGAGUUUGAGAUACAAAAUCAGAAAGCCACUUUAAUAAUUCACAGUGUAGCUGUCACAUGGCCUGUGGCAUACACUUGAGGAUGAUUAGACAUUCUCUCUCUACAUCCAGGGAAGACAAUUAUAACAAAAAGGUUCUUACCAAGCACCGGAUCAGAACAAAGAGCUGGUAGCAUAGAUUUACCAAUGCACCCUUCUGCACUGUGGCUUGGAAUAUUGGAAGUCCUCGGGCUUUGAGACCAACCUGCCUUUCUCCCCUAAAUAAGGCUUGGAUGAGCAGGGCCAACCUCUGACUCUCUCUCUCUCCUUUUUCUGUCACCAAUAGUCAAGUGUUUACCUCUCACCCUGCCAAACUUUCCAACAGACCCGUUCUCCCUUUACGGAAAUUAAGACAACUCUGAGGGUCAUGGUCAAGUCUUGUUGACCUGGCUAUGUUUUUAUGAGGGCCUCAUACUUCUGCUCUCAUCCAUUAUUUCUGAGUUAAUAGAGGUCUGGGAGAAAGGCAAAUAUUUUACUGCCUCCCCUGCAAUUCUGAAAUGGAAGCACAUUUUCCAUAGAAAAGCUCCUGAUUCACUUUCUGCAUUAUAGGAACCACAUAUUUGAUUCUGUUGAUCUUGCUAACAGAUAAAUAGCAUUACUUCCAUUUCAUUCAGUGAUAUGGUCUUUUUCCUAAAGCAUAUUAAAUAUAUGUCUAGGCAUCAUUCAUAUCUUUCUUUCUCUGCUUUGCCUAUUUGAACAUUUUCCUAAUUCACCUUAGCUAACAGUUCCUCCAAAAACACCACAUAGGGUCACCCUAGGCCGGAACUCUGGCCAGGUGUCUGAGAGUAGAAUCAUAUUUAUGAGGGGAGAAAAGUUAUGGAUUUUGUGAUGGCACUGAGGAACUGGGUUCAGCCUAACAUUUUAGAGCAAUUGUAGAGCAAAGUUGAAAAUUGUUGCAUAACAGACUAUUAUACUCUCAGACUUUUUGUUUUCAACCAACGUAGAAACAUAUUGUCAUUUUACUAUAUUACAGAUCAAUUCAUGAUUAUGCACCUAUUUUACCAACAUGUGCUAGACUAUAUAGAGUAUAGAUCAAGAUAGACAAUCUUCAGAAUCAGACUGGUACUCUUUCUGUUGUUUAUUUUUAUUUUUGCAUGUAUUUAUUUUUAUUAUUUAAUUGACAAAUAAUAAUUGCAUAUACUUAAAGAGUACAAUGUGAUAUAUAUUUUGCACUGUACAAUGAUUAAAUUAGGCCAAUUAACAUAUCCAUUACUUCACAUACUUAUUUCUUGGUGAUGAGAACAUUUACAAUCUACUGUUUGAGCAACUUUGAAUUGUGUAAUAUAACUAAAUAUAGUCACCAUGCUAUGCAGUAGAUCACUAGAACUUAUUCCUCCUGUCUGAAUGGAAAUUUUUACCUUUUUACCAACCUCUCCCUUUUCCUUUUCCGACCCCUCCCUUCCCCUCUCUGCUUCUAAGAGUUUGAUAUUUUUAGAUUUCACCUGUAGUGAUAUUGCGCAGUGUUUAUCUUUCUGUAGGCAGCUACUCUUGCUUAUUUCCUCUACCUAUACUUUUGAAACAUUAUUGGAGACAAAGUCAAGUACUUUUAAAGGUUCAUUUUUUCACAAAUCAAAUUAACCUGCUAUAUGUAGAGCCAGUUUGGAAGGGCAAGGAAAUAUUUUGUUGCUUUUUAAGAGUGACCAUAUAAACUCACAAGUAUUGAAAAUAUCAAAGUUAAUAUUACAUAUAUGCAUACAGUGUAUCAUUUUAAGGCAAAAUAUAUGGCUAGGUCCACAAGCUCUAUAUAAGGACCUGAUGGGCCAAAUGUGUUUUGAAAUUCACAUUUUUUGAACUUUAAGGAGGUAAUAGAGUACAUAUUAGGUAUUAUGUGACACCUAAGCAGAGUCCAGGUCAGCAUCUUAUAAUCAAACAUUAAUGCCUCCAUUGCAAAAUAGAUGAUUAUUUAUACCAAGUAGAUAGAUACAUAAUGACUAUAAAUAGCCUCAUGCCAGUUUAAGUCACAUUUUGCUGGCAAAUGAGUUCAAGUAAGGUCAGGUUAGCUGCCAAAUGAGUUAUGGAAAAACUCUAUCUCACAGCUUUCUGGACUGGGGAAUUCGGAACGUGAAAUUGCAGGGUUGAGUUGUGGAAGCUUCCCUUGCAGAAUGUCAUCUUCUGAUUAGGGACGACAGUGAAACGUAUUUACACUUACCAAAUAAUAGUAAUUACAUACGUGAUAUUAUUCAAAAUGGAGACUGCAUUUAAAAGGAAGACUUACACUUUGUUUAAACAGAGGAGAUUUUGGAAAAACUAAGGCUUGUAUCCUAUUCACAGAAAUUAAUCGCCACAGGCAUAAUAGCAUUUGGUGGGCAAGUUUUUGCUCAUCCUCAACAGUUCAGUAUAUUAUACAGGCAAUCUGUGUUUGCCAGACCCAACCAACUGACUAAGCAAAUUCCCUUGAUUAACACAGAGCUGAUUUCAUGGACUCUUGGAAUGGAAGAACCCUUUAAAACCCACUGAGUAGCCUAUCCAGCUCUUCAGCGAGGACUCUUCCUGUUUUUGAACCACCGACUCUUUCAAGAUUAAAAAAGGAAAAAAGAUUAUGAUCUUCACUUCAGAAUGGUGCACAUGUGAGAAGUAUCACAGUCGUUUUCAAGGGAUCUACUCAGAACUCCUGCCUCAUGUGUUUGCCAUAUUUGCAAAAAAAGAGAAUGUUUUAAAAUUUCAAUCUUUGUUUUUUUUUUUUUGGUACCAGAGAUCGAACUCAGGACCUUGCAGUUGCAAGGCAGGCACGGUGCUACUGAGCUAAAUCCCUGGCCCACACAGCCAUUUUAAUACUACAGAGAUUGGCUUUAUUUUAAGCUGCCUCAUAAAUUGACUGGUCAUGUGCCUCAGUGGCUUCUGUGACAUUUAUCACCACUUAGUGAAUUUUAAUGCAGUAAUUAUAAGAUAAAUAUUUUUGAACUCAUUGUGACCCUUUGUCUUAAUGUUAAAGUUGGAAAGAAGACUUUAUUAGUUUUUCUUUUUAUAUUUUUAUUUCCCAUAUCAUCCAAAACUCAGAGAGGGAAAAAAAGGAAAAGAAAUUCUCUAAGGAAAAGGCAUAAAAUUUCCCACUCAUAAAUGUAUCUAGCAUCAAUUUUCAAUUUGACAUUAACUGGGAAAGGAAAUUAUGAAGUAAAUUUUCUAAGUGUUGAGCUGUCACUAGAAAAAAGAUUUAUAUUUGUCUCUGGCAUCAAAUUAUGAUUUGAAUUUCAUAGUAUUAGGCACACGAUUAUUUUUCUUUGACAUUUUGAGGUGUCUGAUAGAGAAUUCUGGGUGAGUUGCAGUAUACGUUUUUUUCUACACUCUUAUCAGAACUGUUCAUGAAGAGCAUCCUUCUCCGUCUAAGUGUAUGAAGGAGGCUCACCAAUAGCAGUCUCGGCAGAUCAGAUCCCAGAAGGCAGCCGUGAACCCCCUGAACUCAUUGAAAAGACUGACUUCUGUUUGCUGGAGAAGCUAAGUGAGCAAAGGCUCCCCUGGCAUGGGCAGGGACCGUUCCUAGCCGCCUCUUUCUAUUCAGUCCAGUGCAUUGCAGUCCACCCACAGUCUCACCCUAACUUGACUUCGUCCGACAGCUCACCCCAUUGUCCUCAGGUACAUACCAGGGCUGGGUAAGCAGAAAGCCAGGUAGGCCUACAAAAACCUGGGUGCCUGGCUUCUCGCCCCUCACGCAGUGCUCCUUAGCAGGCUCUGCAGCCAGGCGGCCACUGACUUCAGCCCAGAUCUGGGUGAGCAUGAUGGGGAACUCCCCCUUAGAUCAAGUAGCCCAGGGAUUUGGAGCUUUUUCCCUCUCACUGUUACCAAGAAGGUCCAUUCUCCCCUGCCAGUAAGGAAAAAACCCUCACUCAUAAAAGUGAAUGCAUUUGGGGUGCCUCUUUGCUAUUCACUGUCCAAAAUAUACCUUAAAUAUUCCAGAACACAGAAUCUGAUACGACCUGGAAAACAGUAUGCUAAGUCAUAGAAGCCAGACCCCACAUUGCAUCUUUCCAUUUAUAUGAAAAACAACCACGUCUAGAUGACCGAGAUACAUUCUUUGAAGUGUGACCUCAGGCAACUUCGUGGCUGUGAGAACACCGUAGAGAGUAAUUACACAAACUAAGAUGGUUACAGUGUCACUGGGUGAUAUAAUGUUAUGGGGCCACUAGCAUGUAUGUGACCAAAACAUCACGCUUCACAUUCAGAGCAUGCAGUUUCACAAGAUGUGGACUAGUGGUUGUCAGGAGCUAGCAGGAGGGAAAUAGAGUUAUUGCUUGGUGAGGACAGAGUGAUGGAAAUGUGGAAAUAUUUAGCAGCCAUGGUCAUACAACCUUUGAAUGUUCUAAAUGUCACCAAACUGCAUGUUGGAGCAGUUUGAGGGGUUUUAUGUUACACGUCUUUAUACAAUAAAAAAUCUUACAGGGUCCUUUUCUACUAUUCUUGCAGUUUAUUUAGAUAAAGUCAUAUAAGACAAAAGGAAGUACAGAAGAAAAAUACUGUGGCUUAAAUAAUGGUUAAAUGUGUUUUUAUCAGUUGAAAACAACAAAGCAAAAUCUUAGUCUUCGUGAGCCCAUGUGGUUCCUUCCUUUUACAGACAAGGAGGUUAAGGUUUCAGCACUAAUGUGGUCUUGGGGAGCAGACAUCUAGAUUCAAGUCUGCUUCUGCCAGGUCUGCUGGUAUGAAAUGCCAGUCAGUGCAAUGUGACUUAGUCUGUCAGAGUCUCCCCUUCCACAUUAAUAAAGGGAGGCUGGAAACACCUAGUGCCGUCCUCCCCACUGUUUCUCCAGCUCAUCUGUGGAUACAGCAACACUAAAUCGCUUGGAGAAGGAACACAGUCCUGAGAAAGUCUCGGAAGUGUCUCAGAAAGGGGAAGUGGAAAUGACUAUUCAGAGUGCUCCCGGGUUGGCACAGCAGGCCCUUCAAGUUGUCCCUGGCCUUCUGGGAAGACCUGGCAAGAGGGUCCCCAGAUACCGAGAGACCAGCCUUUCCUGUGAGUCCUGAGGCUGUCCCACUCAGAGGAAGAAAACAGGAUCCCACGGGACAGGCUGGUCACAGGCACCCAUGGACAGAUUUUAUUCAGACCAAAGGGUUUCAUGUUGUUCUGUUCUUGCUGUUGCUGUUUGUGAUGCAAGGGCUUGAACCCAGCCUUUUGCACUGAGUGAUAAGCUCGGCCCUUUUUACUUUUUUCUUGAGACAGAGUCUCCUUAGGUCAUCAGUUGUUCAGGGUGAGCUAGAGCAUGUGAUCCUCCUCCCUCAGCCUCGCAGAGUUCACAUUGCUUCACUGGGCGGUCCUAAGUUUAGGGUGGUGAUCUGCAUGUGAUGAUCCGGCCUAAAUUCUCACGUGUGGCUACUGGCCUCUCUCUCUUUUCCUGCG